AGAGUUUGAUCCUGGCUCAGGAUGAACGCUGGCGGCAUGCCUAAGACAUGCAAGUCGAACGAGAUGGCCCAGUGAAGGUUGAGUGCUUGCACAAGACUGAAUCUGGAUUCCCAUCUAGUGGCAGACGGGUGAGUAACACGUGGGUGACCUACCUUUUCGUUGGGGAUAACAGUUGGAAACGAUUGCUAAUACCGAAUAAAAUGUAAGAGUCAAUUUUACAUUGAAAGGAGCCUUUAAAGCUUCGCGAUUAGAUGGGCCUGCGGCGUAUUAACUAGUUGGUGAGGUAAUGGCUUACCAAGGUGACGAUGCGUAGCCGAACUGAGAGGUUGAUCGGCCACAUUGGGACUGAGACACGGCCCAAACUCCUACGGGAGACAGCAGUUAGGAAUAUUCGUCAAUGGGGGAAACCCUGAACGAGCAAUGCCGCGUGAGUGAUGAAGGUCUUAUAGAUUGUAAAACUCUGUUGUAUGGAAAAAACGGCUAGGUUAGGAAAUGAACUUAGUGUGAUGGUACCAUACCAGAAAGCCCCGGCUAACUACGUGCCAGCAGCCGCGGUAAUACGUAGGGGGCGAGCGUUAUCCGGAUUUAUUGGGCGUAAAGCGUGUGUAGGCGGUUUAUUAAGUUUAAGAUUAAAGCCCGGGGCUCAACUCCGGUAAGUCUUAAAAACUGGUAGACUUGAGUACGGUAGAGGCAAACGGAAUUUCUAGUGUAGCGGUGAAAUGCGUAGAUAUUAGAAGGAACACCAGUGGCGAAAGCGGUUUGCUGGGCCGUUACUGACGCUGAGGCACGAAAGCGUGGGGAGCAAAUAGGAUUAGAUACCCUAGUAGUCCACGCCGUAAAC
rnacentral:rRNA from 1 species